rnacentral:rRNA from 1 species
UGGGGAAUUUUGGACAAUGGGGGCAACCCUGAUCCAGCCAUGCCGCGUGAGUGAAGAAGGCCUUCGGGUUGUAAAGCUCUUUCGGCCGGAACGAAAUCGCACGGGUUAAUAGCCCGUGUGGAUGACGGUACCGGAACAAGAAGCACCGGCUAACUACGUGCCAGCAGCCGCGGUAAUACGUAGGGUGCGAGCGUUAAUCGGAAUUACUGGGCGUAAAGCGUGCGCAGGCGGUUUGUUAAGCCAGAUGUGAAAGCCCCGGGCUCAACCUGGGAACUGCGUUUGGUACUGGCAAGCUAGAGUACGGCAGAGGGGGGUGGAAUUCCACGUGUAGCAGUGAAAUGCGUAGAGAUGUGGAGGAACACCGAUGGCGAAGGCAGCCCCCUGGGUCGAUACUGACGCUCAGGCACGAAAGCGUGGGGAGCAAACAGG